rnacentral:rRNA from 1 species
AACGCACGUAGCAAUACGUGAGUGGCGGACGGGUGAGUAACGCGUGAGAAUCUAGCUUCAGGUCGGGGACAACAGAGGGAAACCGCUGCUAAUACCGGAUAUGCCGAAAGGUGAAAGAUUAAUUGCCUGAAGAUGAGCUCGCGUCUGAUUAGCUAGUUGGAGAGGUAAAAGCUCACCAAGGCGACGAUCAGUAGCUGGUCUGAGAGGACGAUCAGCCACACUGGGACUGAGACACGGCCCAGACUCCUACGGGAGGCAGCAGUGGGGAAUCUUCCGCAAUGGGCGAAAGCCUGACGGAGCAAUACCGCGUGAGGGAGGAAGGCUCUUGGGUUGUAAACCUCUUUUCUUAGGGAAGAAGCUCUGACGGUACCCAAGGAAUAAGCAUCGGCUAACUCCGUGCCAGCAGCCCGCGGUAAUACGGAGGAUGCAUGCGUUAUCCGGAAUCAUUGGGCCGUAAAGCGUCCGUAGGUG